rnacentral:rRNA from 1 species
GGCGGCCCUCUGGACAGUACUGACGCUGAGAUGCGAAGCGUGGGGAGCAAACAGGAUUAGAUACCUGGUAGUCACGCUGUAGACGAUGUCGAUUUGGAGUUUGUUGCCUAGAGUGAUGGGCUCCGAAGCUAACGCGAUAAAUCGACCGCCUGGGGAGUACGGCCGCAAGGUUAAAACUCGAAUGAAUUGACGGGGGCCCGCACAAGCGGUGGAGCAUGUGGUUUAAUUCGAUGCAACGCGAAGAACCUUACCUGGUCUUGACAUCCAUAGAAUUCUGCAGAGAUGUGGGAGUGCCUUCGGGAACUAUGAGACAGGUGCUGCAUGGCUGUCGUCAGCUCGUGUUGUGAAAUGUUGGGUUAAGUCCCGCAACGAGCGCAACCCUUAUUCUUUGUUACCAGCGAUUUGGUCGGGAACUCAAAGGAGACUGCCGUUGAUAAAGCGGAGGAAGGUGGGGACGACGUCAAGUCACCAUGGCCCUUACGACCAGGGCUACACACGUGCUACAAUGGCGUAUACAAAGGGAAGCGAAGGUGCGAGCUGGAGCGGAUCUCAUAAAGUACGUCUAAGUUCGGAUUGGAGUCUGCAACUCGACUCCAUGAAGUCGGAAUCGCUAGUAAUCGUAGAUCAGAAUGCUACGGUGAAUACGUUCCCGGGCCUUGUACACACCGCCCGUCACACCAUGGGAGUGGGUUGCACCAGAAGUAGAUAGCUUAACCGCGAGGGGGGCGUUUACCACGGUGUGAUUCAUGACUGGGGUGAAGUCGUAACAAGGUAACCA